UAUUGCAUCAAAGUGAACAGGUGUUACAUUGAAUCAAUAUAUUAGUGCCCAAAUGUAUUUAUACCUAUACACAAGGAUAUUAAUAGCAUAAAGUUUCUUAAUUUAUUCAUUUAUUUGCAGAUUCCAUUUUUAUAUUGUAUUGUUUACAUUAAAACAGAUGUCUUUUUUUACAAAAGGAGCUGCCUAAAAAAAAUACAAAAUUUUAAAUAUUGAUCCAUUAUACAAUUAAAGACCCUGUACAAAUUUAUAAUCUGCUUUUGAAAUACUUGAUUGAUAAAAGUUGAAUAAAAAAAAAAUUCUUCUUAAUGAAAAAGCUUUCAACAAAGAUUUAUCAAUUGAUAUUCAAGUUUGGUCGAUAUGAAAUUAUCAGUAAUUACUUACUCAAGACAUAUGACCUAUUUCUCAAGCAUGAUACUUUCUAAAAAUCAAAUAAUUAUAAAUU
rnacentral:lncRNA from 1 species